UGCCCCCUCGUUCAAUGGUAGGACAGCUGACUCUGACUCAGCAUAUCGGGGUUCGAAUCCCUGGGGGCAACCA
rnacentral:tRNA from 1 species